UGGGGAAUAUUGGACAAUGGGGGAAACCCUGAUCCAGCAAUGCCGCGUGAGUGAAGAAGGCCUUAGGGUUGUAAAGCUCUUUCGCCCGCGAAGAUAAUGACGGUAGCGGGAGAAGAAGCCCCGGCUAACUCCGUGCCAGCAGCCGCGGUAAUACGGAGGGGGCUAGCGUUGUUCGGAAUUACUGGGCGUAAAGCGUACGUAGGCGGGUGCGCAAGUUGGGGGUGAAAUCCCGGGGCUUAACCUCGGAAUUGCCCUCAAAACUGCACGUCUUGAGACCGAGAGAGGUACGGGGAAUUCCUAGUGUAGAGGUGAAAUUCGUAGAUAUUAGGAAGAACACCAGUGGCGAAGGCGCCUUACUGGCUCGGUACUGACGCUGAGGUACGAAAGCGUGGGGAGCAAAC
rnacentral:rRNA from 1 species